UACAGAGGGUGCAAGCGUUGUCCGGAAUUACUGGGUGUAAAGGGCGCGUAGGCGUUUGGAUGUGUCAGAUGUGAAAUUCCAUAGCUCAACUAUGGAACUGCAUUUGAAACUAUCCAAAUAGAGUGCAGGAGGGGAAAGUGGAAUUCCCGGUGUAGAGGUGAAAUUCGUAGAUAUCGGGAGGAAUACCGGUGGCGAAGGCGACUUUCUGGCCUGCUACUGACGCUGAGGCGCGAAAGCGUGGGGAGCAAACAGG
rnacentral:rRNA from 1 species